rnacentral:rRNA from 1 species
GAUGAACGCUGGCGGCGUGCCUAACACAUGCAAGUCGCACGAGAAAGUCCCAGCUUGCUGGGGCAAGUAAAGUGGCGCACGGGUGAGUAACGCGGGGGUAAUCUACCUCCGAAUUGGGGAUAACACUGCGAAAGCGGUGCUAAUACCUAAUGACAUCCCCGGGACCCCGGUCCUGGUGAUCAAAGGUGGCCUCUACAUGUAAGCUAUCGUUUGGAGAUGAGCGCGCGUACCAUUAGCUAGUUGGUAGGGUAACGGCCUACCAAGGAUGCGAUGGUUAGCUGGUCUGAGAGGAUGAUCAGCCACACUGGAACUGACACACGGUCCAGACUCCUACGGGAGGCAGCAGUGAGGAAUUUUGCGCAAUGGGGGAAACCCUGACGCAGCAACGCCGCGUGAGUGAUGAAGGCUUUCGGGUCGUAAAGCUCUGUCAAGUGGGAAGAACCUGCUUUGUGAUAAUACCACGAAGCACUGACGGUACCACUGAAGGAAGCACCGGCUAACUCCGUGCCAGCAGCCGCAGUAACAC